ensembl:lncRNA
GGGGGGGACAUAUGGUUGUCCCAUGUUUCUGCAGUGGAUGGAGUAUCUUGAAGUAUCACUCUAGCUGUGGCAAUCACCAGGAUGUGUGUGCCACUGCGCCGGACAGGACUCGUUAUGCACCAUCACUUUUCCCAUGUGACCAUGCUGAUGGAUACCUGCUCCUUGGCCACCCAGUAGCUGUCUGGAUUGUCAACUCCACUGUCAGGGUCACAGAGCACCUGACCAGAACACUCCUGCUCCUGAGAAGCCUGGCAAGAAGGUCCGAGAUAGUCUUCAGGAGCCAAACCGGUCCAUCGACUGACAUCAGCAGUCUGGCUGCCUACACCGAGAGCAGCUUAUUUUGGGAGCAGAUGGGUCACCUCCUAUACCUGUGACGAGGACAGACACAGGAACUGUUGAAUUGGCUUCGUUUUCUCCGACAGGCACAG